GUGGACAACCUACCCUGCGGAAGGGGAUAACCCCGGGAAACUGGGGAUAAUACCCUAUAGGAUAUUGAUGCUGGAAUGCGCGAUAUCUGAAAGUUGAGGCGCCGCAGGAUGGGUCUGCGGCCGAUUAGGUAGUUGUUGGGGUAACGGCCCAACAAGCCUGUAAUCGGUACGGGUUGUGGGANCAAGAGCCCGGAGAUGGAUUCUGAGACRUGAAUCCAGGCCCUACGGGGCGCAGCAGGCGCGAAAACUUUACAAUGCGGGAAACCGNGAUAAGGNAACCCCGAGUG
rnacentral:rRNA from 1 species